ensembl:lncRNA
UUUGUUUAGUUGCACAAACUGUAGUCUGCAUAAAUCCUAAUGGCCUCAAAAUCCUUCAUUUGUUUUAUAAUAACUAGAUGAAGAAUAGCCUGCUUGUGUAUGGAAUAUUUGCUAUAUGAAGAAGAUCCAUAAACUACUCUGCUGUUAUGUUUUUGCUUUUUCCAGCUAAUGGUGAAAUUUUACAGGAAAGGUACUUGGAUUGUCACUCCAUCAUCUUUAUUGCACAGCACUUGAGUAAUGAACACAAAUUAGUACUGAAUACAUUUAAACUUUAAUUCCAUUUGCAAUCAUGGAAUACACUGAUUUGGAAUGGACCCACAAAGAUCAUCAAGUCUUACUCCUGACUAUACAUAGGACUGUAUGAAUACUUCUUUGUUUUUUGGCUUAAAGCUUGCUUUCUGAGGCAUUUCUUGAGAUAAGACUCUAAGUUAGAUGAGAGAUGGGUGUUGCUGUGUGGCAAUCAACAUCACUGUGUGGACCAUUUUACAUUUGAAAGCAUUUCUCUGGAGCUAUUUUCCUCCGGAAGAGAGUGCUCAGGAGUGGUUACUGGCAGAAGAUCUGGCCUGUGACUAAAUAGCCCCAGGUUGGUGUGGGAAAACUGGGGAAUGAUACCAUCGUGUCCUGUGAAAAACAGGAUUCAGAUGGACAUCCCUGCUCCCUCUUAUUUGCUGGCAAGGCCCGGAAGAUAGUAACAAAGCAGUUUCUGCUGAAUCCCAGAGCCAGUAGCUGCCACUCCAAGGAGAGCUGACUCAACCACUUUGGAUUUGAGCUGUCACUCAAAAGAGAGCUGAUUUGACCAGUUUUGACUUAUAAAUAAGUUUGUACUGCCAUUGCCGUUGUCAUUGUCAUCUCUGUGGACACUGUUGUCAACAGAACAACAACGCCCGAUGACCCACCACUACUGAAGAUAAGUGACUGAACUACGAACCACGCUGGACCCACGGUGGUGACUAUCAUCUCCUUCUUGCCACCUAUAGAGACUCCUUGCUCCUAUUUCCUAUCUUUUCUGCUGCCCUUCUUCCCUUCCCCAUCACCCUAAUUUGUACCUAUAAAGACUCCUUGCUUCUAUUUCCUGUCUUUUCUAUUGCUCUCCUUCCCUUCCCCAUCACCCCAAUCUGUAAUAGUGUCCGUCCUCCCUUUCCCCAUCUCCCUUAUCAAGAUUUGUAAUAAACUGGUUGGAC